GUACACUCCUGCGGGAGGCAGCAGUGGGGAAUUUUGGACAAUGGGCGAAAGCCUGAUCCAGCAAUGCCGCGUGUGUGAAGAAGGCCUUCGGGUUGUAAAGCACUUUUGUCCGGAAAGAAAUCCUUGGCUCUAAUACAGUCGGGGGAUGACGGUACCGGAAGAAUAAGCACCGGCUAACUACGUGCCAGCAGCCGCGGUAAUACGUAGGGUGCGAGCGUUAAUCGGAAUUACUGGGCGUAAAGCGUGCGCAGGCGGUUUGCUAAGACCGAUGUGAAAUCCCCGGGCUCAACCUGGGAACUGCAUUGGUGACUGGCAGGCUAGAGUAUGGCAGAGGGGGGUGGAAUUCCACGUGUAGCAGUGAAAUGCGUAGAGAUGUGGAGGAAUACCGAUGGCGAAGGCAGCCCCCUAGGCCAAUACUGACGCUCAUGCACGAAAGCGUGGGGAGCAAACAGGAUUAGAUACCCUGGUAGUCCCAUG
rnacentral:rRNA from 1 species